rnacentral:rRNA from 1 species
AGAGUUUGAUCCUGGCUCAGAGUGAACGCUGGCGGUAGGCCUAACACAUGCAAGUCGAACGGCAGCACAGCAGUAGCAAUACUGUGGGUGGCGAGUGGCGGACGGGUGAGGAAUACAUCGGAAUCUACCUUUUCGCGGGGGAUAACGUAGGGAAACUUACGCUAAUACCGCAUACGACCUUAGGGUGAAAGUAGGGGAUCGCAAGACCUUACGCGGAUAGAUGAGCCGAUGUCGGAUUAGCUAGUUGGCGGGGUAAAGGCCCACCAAGGCGACGAUCCGUAGCUGGUCUGAGAGGAUGAUCAGCCACACUGGAACUGAGACACGGUCCAGACUCCUACGGGAGGCAGCAGUGGGGAAUAUUGGACAAUGGGCGCAAGCCUGAUCCAGCCAUACCGCGUGGGUGAAGAAGGCCUUCGGGUUGUAAAGCCCUUUUGUUGGGAAAGAAAUCCUGUCGGUUAAUACCCGGUAGGGAUGACGGUACCCAAAGAAUAAGCACCGGCUAACUUCGUGCCAGCAGCCGCGGUAAUACGAAGGGUGCAAGCGUUACUCGGAAUUACUGGGCGUAAAGCGUGCGUAGGUGGUUCGUUAAGUCUGAUGUGAAAGCCCUGGGC